CAUGGGAUUGAUUAGUCGUUACCUUAACACAGGAAUUACAAUGCAACAUUCCCUCCAGAAAACUGGGUUAGUCUUUAAUUUCAAAUUUUAGGCGCCUCACCUCCCCCUAUCGCUGUGCAGAUUAGUCUGCUUCUGUUUGCUGAUUGGACCAACAAGAGCGCACCGUCUGCCCUCCUCCUGCUGGAACUUUCCAUACGUGAUUGACAGCCACAACAGAAAAGACCUGCGUGCGGUGCAGUUAUUGGGCCUUUCCUGAAGGACUAUAGUUGUGAUCUGCUGCUGCCCGACUUGGAUGAAAAGGAAGAUGCAAUGUUUUGCCAUGUGGAUGACGUGUGCCUUCCAGAAGAAGUACCGGGCAUUCGUGCCUUUCUACAAGAAAGUUCAUGCUAAGUCUGGAUCGAAACCUUGUGCAGGCCAACAUUGCUUCCCACAUUUCUCUGCUAUGCAUGAUCUUCGCAAACUACUACAGCUUCAACAUCCACUAUCCAUCCACCGGAGCUGGCAUCAACUUUUGAGUUUCUACAGAGAUGCUUUUUCUCCAUCAACCCAGAGAGAGAGACCAGAGUGGACAAGAAGGGCAAAUCUCAUCUCAUCUUGAACCCAAGAGUCUUAACCUUGAUUCAGGAACGGUCAGAUUUUGAGUGGAGAGGCGUGUAAACACUGUAAGCAACAUUGCAAGCAUAGUUUUAAGGUUUCUUUGCUCUUUGUUAAUCUCUUGCAAAAAA